UUUGAUCGAGCCGAGCCACAGCGGCGUGUCGCGGUCCUGCCCGUAGGUGGCCAGCAGCGCUUGGGCCUC
rnacentral:antisense_RNA from 1 species